UAAGCAUGAAGCCCCCCUCAAGAUGAGAUUUCCCAUAGCGUAAGCUAGUAAGAUCCCUGAAAGAUGAUCAGGUUGAUAGGUUCGAGGUGGAAGCAUGGUGACAUGUGGAGCUGACGAAUACUAAUAGAUCGAGGACUUAACCAU
rnacentral:rRNA from 1 species